GACGAACCGUGCAAACGUUAUUCGGAAUCACUGGGCUUAAAGCGUGCGUAGGCGGCCUGGAAAGUUGGGUGUGAAAUCCCUCGGCUCAACCGAGGAAUUGCGCUCAAAACUACCUGGCUUGAGAGAGUUAGAGGUGAGCGGAACUAAUGGUGGAGCGGUGAAAUGCGUUGAUAUCAUUAGGAACACCGGUGGCGAAAGCGGCUCACUGGGGCUCUACUGACGCUGAGGCACGAAAGCUAGGGUAGCGAAC
rnacentral:rRNA from 1 species